UACGUAGGGUGCGAGCGUUAAUCGGAAUUACUGGGCGUAAAGCGUGCGCAGGCGGUUUUGUAAGCCAGGUGUGAAAUCCCCGGGCUCAACCUGGGAACUGCAUUUGUGACUGCAAGGCUGGAGUGCGGCAGAGGGGGAUGGAAUUCCGCGUGUAGGCAGUGAAAUGCGUAGAUAUGCGGAGGAACACCGAUGGCGAAGGCAAUCCCCUGGGCCUGCACUGACGCUCAGUGCACGAAAGCGUGGGGAGCAAACAGG
rnacentral:rRNA from 1 species